rnacentral:rRNA from 1 species
CAUUCGGGAUGGUCUAGCCUGUGAGUCAUUGUAGCAAUACAAGGCAUACGGCUCAGUAACACGUGGUCAAUCUAGCCUAUGGACGGGAAUAAUCUCGGGAAACUGAGAAUAAUGCCCGAUAGAACACUAUAUCUGGAAUGGUUUGUGUUCCAAAUGAUUUAUCGCCAUAGGAUGGGACUGCGGCCUAUCAGUUUGUUGGUGAGGUAAUGGCCCACCAAGACUAUUACAGGUACGGGCUCUGAGAGGAGUAGCCCGGAGAUGGGUACUGAGACACGGACCCAGGCCCUAUGGGGCGCAGCAGGCGAGAAAACUUUGCAAUGUGCGAAAGCACGACAAGGUUAAUCCGAGUGGUUUCUGCUAAAGAAACCUUUUGCUAGUCCUAGAAACACUAGUGAAUAAGGGGUGGGCAAGUUCUGGUGUCAGCCGCCGCGGUAAAACCAGCACCUCAAGUGGUCAGGAUGAUUAUUGGGCCUAAAGCAUCCGUAGCUCGUUUUGUAAGUUUUCGGUUAAAUCCAUACGCUCAACGUAUGGGCUGCCGGGAAUACUGCAUGACUAGGAAGUGGGAGAGGUAGACGGUACUCGAUAGGAAGGGGUAAAAUCCUUUGAUCUAUUGAUGACCACCUGUGGCGAAGGCGGUCUACCAGAACACGUUCGACGGUGAGGGAUGAAAGCUGGGGGAGCAAACCGGAUUAGAUACCCGGGUAGUCCCAGCUGUAAACUAUGCAAACUCAGUGAUGCAUUGGCUUGUGGCCAAUGCAGUGCUGCAGGGAAGCCGUUAAGUUUGCCGCCUGGGAAGUACGUACGCAAGUAUGAAACUUAAAGGAAUUGGCGGGGGAGCACCACAAGGGGUGAAGCCUGCGGUUCAAUUGGAGUCAACGCCGGG